rnacentral:rRNA from 1 species
GGCUAAUCCUGGUCGGACAUCAGGAGGUUAGUGCAAUGGCAUAAGCCAGCUUGACUGCGAGCGUGACGGCGCGAGCAGGUGCGAAAGCAGGUCAUAGUGAUCCGGUGGUUCUGAAUGGAAGGGCCAUCGCUCAACGGAUAAAAGGUACUCCGGGGAUAACAGGCUGAUACCGCCCAAGAGUUCAUAUCGACGGCGGUGUUUGGCACCUCGAUGUCGGCUCAUCACAUCCUGGGGCUGAAGUAGGUCCCAAGGGUAUGGCUGUUCGCCAUUUAAAGUGGUACGCGAGCUGGGUUUAGAACGUCGUGAGACAGUUCGGUCCCUAUCUGCCGUGGGCGCUGGAGAACUGAGGGGGGCUGCUCCUAGUACGAGAGGACCGGAGUGGACGCAUCACUGGUGUUCGGGUUGUCAUGCCAAUGGCACUGCCCGGUAGCUAAAUGCGGAAGAGAUAAGUGCUGAAAGCAUCUAAGCACGAAACUUGCCCCGAGAUGAGUUCUCCCUGACUCCUUGAGAGUCCUGAAGGAACGUUGAAGA